CUUUGAACGAUAUGCAUAUCCCGCAAUAGCCACACUGAUUUCACAGAUAAUUAUUAUACCAAGAAAGAGAGAAAACUGAAAAAUAAAUACAAAUUGUCAAAAUAAUUUAUAACGUGCAGUUCUACACAAAAUGUCAAAAUGUGCAGUUCCAUGCAACCAUAUAUAUGCAAUUCUAAAAUAAGAAUAAAUAUGCUUGUCGUUUCCCCUUGUGGACGGCGUCCAGAAAAUGCCAAAAAAUGCAGUCAUCCAGGUCACAGAAUAGACUAUACAGAAGCCCGACUUCUUCGUUUUUCCUAUGAUUUUUCAAUGAUUUUGGCGUAACUCUGAUAAUAGACAGAUUUAGAUUGAGGACGCGGACGUCAAAGACGACGUGAAAAUGGCGUCAAAAUGGUGUGGCAUAUCCAUACAUGGGCACAACACGCCAUUUUCACGUCGUCUUUGACGUCCGCGUCCUCAAUUCUCGUCCUAAUAUUCAAAAUGGCCGACGUGCAGGGGUAAAUACCUCUCAAACGCGCACUGGCUAGGACCAGUGUACUCCAUGUCUUUUAUCCGGAACGAUAACACGGGAGAAACGUGAAGCCAAUGCCAACGCCACUUCACGCCAACGCCAGCCUGCUGACGCGCGCUAAUCAUAAUCGCGCUAAUCAAUGGCGCUAAUUCGUGAUAGGACGCGCGGUGAUGGCGUACAAGGGGACUGAGACUGACGUACUACUAAUUCGCAAAACAUGUUCAAAGUGUACGCUGCAUAUUCUGCAAUUAUUGUGCAAAUAUUUUACGCUUUUGUUUUUUACGUUGUGUCUUACCGUUGCGAUGAUCCAUUAUUUGGACCUGUGGCAUUUAAAAACGGUUAAAACAGCAAUCUUUACUACCUAGUGAUGGCAAUUGAUGGCGUUGCUAGCGUUUGAUGGCGUCGUGAUUACACUUGCUGUCUCGCGCUUGCGCAUAAAAAAUCUCGGACAUAAUUUUGGCUAAAUGAGGCUUCUGGUCUAUUUUCUAUUCUGUGACGCGAGGCUUCACUUUUUAACUGCCAAAUGACUGAAUGUUGUCGUUCCAGAUAAAUAGAUUGAGUUCACUGGCUAGGACCAGGCGUCAGCAUUUUGAUGAUGAAUCAUGGUGUGGCAGCGGUCACUCGAGUCACAGAUGAUAGAUUAUUUAACAAAUAUAAAACAUUUUCCGUGUUGAUAUACAGUUAUAUCAACACGAGUGGAAAUUGGGAAAACGAGAAAUUGUGUGGAAACACGAUGCCCGAAG